rnacentral:rRNA from 1 species
ACUCCUGCGGGAGGCAGCAGUGGGGAAUUUUGGACAAUGGGCGAAAGCCUGAUCCAGCAAUGCCGCGUGAGUGAAGAAGGCCUUCGGGUUGUAAAGCUCUUUUGUCAGGGAAGAAACGGUGAGAGCUAAUAUCUCUUGCUAAUGACGGUACCUGAAGAAUAAGCACCGGCUAACUACGUGCCAGCAGCCGCGGUAAUACGUAGGGUGCAAGCGUUAAUCGGAAUUACUGGGCGUAAAGCGUGCGCAGGCGGUUUUGUAAGUCUGAUGUGAAAUCCCCGGGCUCAACCUGGGAAUUGCAUUGGAGACUGCAAGGCUAGAAUCUGGCAGAGGGGGGUAGAAUUCCACGUGUAGCAGUGAAAUGCGUAGAUAUGUGGAGGAACACCGAUGGCGAAGGCAGCCCCCUGGGUCAAGAUUGACGCUCAUGCACGAAAGCGUGGGGAGCAAACAGGAUUAGAUACCCCGGUAGUCCCAUGA